AGUCACAACAAGAGGAGAGAGGUAAUGAAGUCACAACAAGAGGGAGGUAAUGUAGUCACAACAAGAUGAGAGAGGUAAUGUAGUCACAACAAGAGGAGAGAUGUAAUGUAGUCACAACAAGAGGAGAGAGGUAAUGUAGUCACAACAAGAGAGAGGUAAUGUAGUCACAACAAGAGGGAGGUAAUGUAGUCACAACAAAGGGAGAUAGGUAAUGUAGUCACAACAAGAGAGAGGUAAUGCAUUCACAACAAGAUGAGAGAGGUAAUGUAGUCACAACAAGAUUAUAUAGGUAAUGUAGUCACAACAAGAGGAGAGAUGUAAUGUAGCCACAACAAGAGGAGUGAGGUAAUGUAGUCACAUCAACUAGAUGAGAUAGGUAAUGUAGUCACAUCAACAAGAGGAGAAAGGUAAUGUAGUCACAUCAAGAGAGCGGUCAUGUAGACACAUCAACAUGAGGAGAGAGGUUAAUGUUUCCACAACAAGAGGAGAUUGAGAGGUAAUGUAGUCACAACAAGAGAGAGGUAAUGUAGCUACAUCAACUAGAGGUGCGAGAAGUAGAGGUAAUGUAGCUACAUUAACAAGAGGAGAGAUGUAGAGAGGUAAUGUAGCUACAUCAAUAAGAGAGAGGUAGUGUAGCUAUAUCAACAAGAGUAGAUAGGGGUAAUGUAACUAAAUCAACAAGAGGUGUGAGAAGUAGAGGUAAUGUAGCUACAUCAAAAGAGGAGAGGUAGAGGUAAUGUGGCUACAACAAGAGAGAGUAGAGAUAGGUAAUGUGGCUACAUCAACAAGAAGAGAAAGAAGUAGAGGUAAUGUAGCUACAUCAACAAGAGAGAGAGGUAGUGUAGCUACAUCAAGAAGAAGAGAGAGAAUGAGAGGUAAUGUAGCUACAUCAACAAGAGGAGUGUGAAAUAGAGAGAGGUAAUGUAGCAACAUCAACGAGAGAGGUAAUGGAGCAACAUCAACAAGAAGUGAGGUAGAGGUAAUGUAGCUACAUCAACAAGAGAAGAGAGGAAGAGCGAGGUAAUGUAGCUACAUCAACAAGAGGAGAGGUGUAGAGAGGUAAUGUAGCUACAUCAAUAAGAGAGAGGUAAUGUUGCUAUAUCAACAAGAGUAGAUAUGCUUCUACACCUGCAUUGCUUGCUGUUUGGGGUUUUAGGCUGGGUUUCUGUACAGCACUUUGAGAUAUCAGCUGAUGUACGAAGGGCUAUAUAAAAAAAUUGAUUGAUUGAGUAGAUUGGGUAAUGUAACUAAAUCGACAAGAGGUGUGAGAAGUAGAGGUAAUGUAGCUACACCAACAAGAGAGAAGUAGAGAUAAUGUAGCUACAUCAACAAGAGGAGAGGUAGAGGUAAUGUGGCUACAUCAACAAGAAGAGAAAGAAGUAGAGGUAAUGUGGCUACAUCAACAAGAGAGAGGUAAUGUAGCUACAUCAAGAAGAAGAGAGAGAAGUAGAGGUAAUGUGGCUACAUCAACAAGAGAGAGGUAAUGUAGCUACAUCAAGAAGAAGAGAGAGAAUGAGAGGUAAUGUAGCUACAUCAACAAGAGAACAGAGGUAGAGCGAGGUAAUGUAUCUACAUCAACAGAGGAGAGAGAUGUAGAGAGAUGUAAUGUAGCUACGUCAAUAAGAGAGGUAAUGUAGCUACAUCAACAAGAGUAGAGAGAGGUAAUGUAGCUACAUCAACAAGAGUAGAUAGAGGUAAUGUAGCUACAUCUACAAGAGGAGUGAGAAAUAAAGAGGUAAUGUAGAAACAUCAACGAGAGAGGUAAUGUAGAUACAUCAACAAGAAAAGAUAAGUAGAUAGGUAAUGUAGCUACAACAAGAAGAGAGAAGUAGAGAGAGGUAAUGUAGCUACAGCAACAGAAAGAGAGCGAGGUAGAGAGAGGUAAUGUAGCUACAUCAACAAAGAGUGAGAUAGAGGUAAUGUAGCUUCACCAACAAGAAGAGAGAGAAGUAGAGGUAAUGUAGCUACAUCAACAAGAGUGAGAUAGAGAGAGGUAAUGUAGCUUCACCAACAAGAGGAGAGAGAGAAGUAGAGAGAGGUAAUGUAGCUUCACCAACAAGAAGAGAGAGAAGUAGAGAGAGGUAAUGUAGCUACACCAACACAGCAUAGAGCACCAGGUCAAAUGGCCACCUGGUACCUCCAGCACCAUGUGAAUCACAAUAAAACAGAAUAUUUUCUGAUCUUUCUGAUUUUAGAAUCACAGUUGUCAUUUGUAUAGAAUACAAAGAGGGAAUCGUUCGUCCUCUCUUCGUCGUUGGGAAUGAUCCGUGUGCUCGGGGCGCCCUAACCUGGUCCUCCCUCAGCAGCACACUGCUUCAUAUCAGAUAUCAUGGGGAAUUACUUCUGCUUUUUCUCAUUACACACACACACACACACACACACACACACACACACACACACACACACACACACACACACACACACACACACACACACACACACACACACACACAUCGCUGUGUGUAAAUUCAUUGAUGGGUCUUUUCAAAGGCCAUAAUGAUAAAACCCCAAAAUAUUCUCCUGUUAUUGAUUGUCCUUAUCAGUCAUAUUUCAAUGGUCUGUCUGUCUCCGGGGUUACUGCACUGUGCAAUCACUUCCUACACAAGAAGGGGGAGGAGAAAGAGGGA